rnacentral:lncRNA from 1 species
CCUAACAUACGACUAGGGAUAGGCCAAACUAUUCCUUGGGAAGAAUAUAACCAUCCUACACUGAUCAUCAUACGAGGGGGAGGGGGUACUAGACCAUACCCUAGCAUACGAGAAGUAUGCUCAAACUGUACCUUGUCCAGAAACUCAAAACUUAGGAAUUUUUUAAGGGUUCAAAGCCAACGUGUUUCAAUUCUCCCAAACUUGUAUCAUUCAACCUCG